ACAAGGCUCAAAUUGUGUUUAUUAUUAUUAUAUCAUAACAAUCAGUGAUUCACAUAUGAAAUAGAAUGAUAUAAUUUACAGAGCUGAUAUUCUUGAGAAUGCACUUCAGUUCAGAUGUGCAGAUACAUAAUAAAAGACACUGUAAAAAUCUGCUCAAAGCACUAAAACACUUUUGAAUAAAAAUAAAUCACAAAGUGCAAAGUAUUGUGAAUAAUGCUGUUAUGUACAUAUGUGCUUAGUAACAAAAGUAUGAAACAGUGUCUAGAUUGCUGCCUGGGAUUCACAUAUGCAAUGAAGAAAAAGUCUAAUCACACAUUCUGUAUAAAACACUAUCAUGCAUAGGCAUCCUAUCAGAUCUAUAUGUGUGUGCUAUGCCUACUGGAUUUUUGGCAUGUUUGCACAAGCUGCAGUUGCACUAUGGCAAUAUGAAUGUUCUAUGCAAUGAACUUUCUGGAACUGGUACUGGGAAUCACCUACAUCACACAUGAUGCAAUCUGUGUCAACGAGCAAUGCAUUUACAGCCAAUUUUGAAAAAUAAAAUCACCUGUUCCUUUUCCAUGUAGUUAUAGCAAAAAUAUUGACUACAAAGUUUUUUGGACAAUAAAAUUGGUUUCUGAAUUAGCAAGGACUUCCUUAACACCUUCACCCCUGACACUUCAAGACAUUUCUGCUGUCAUAAUGAAAUCAACAGAAGGCUUUAAAAAGUAACAGUCAAACCUAUAACCUAUGGAGAAUGGAAAUGCAUGUUAAUUUAUGAUAUAUAUUUGAUACAAGCAUUUGUUCUUCUAACCCAGAAUGUUUUGUCCUAGGGAUCUGAUUUGAGUUUAAGGACCUGGAAGUGAAUGUAUAUACAUAUAACACUGUUCUUGCUCUCAGUAAUAUAUCUGAUUGUGCACACUUAAAAUGCCAAGAGAUUUGGUUUGACAUUACUGUUAUUAGCAUUUGUCCAUUUGUUAGCUCAGUAUUUUUUACUUAAUUUUAUUGUGUUUGUUCAGUUAUUAUACAUUUACUCUUUUCUUUCAUAUUCUGUUUUGGAAUAUACUUGCAAUGAAAAGAAAUAUAAUAAUUUUCAAGACUGUAGUAAUGUCUUUUUGUGUUACAACUAUUGUGCAAUGGAGGUACAGAAUUGUUACAUUUCCUCUGCUAUCCUAAAAUGAAACAUUUUUUAUCCUGAACUUUUAACUUCUGCUCUGUCAUCUGGGUGUUAAAGAGUGACUAUGUCAUACUUUGUUCCAUUUCUGCCUUCUUUGUCAAGGCAGUUAUUCACCUUACACUCCAAAGCAAAGUGAGCCUUAAAACAUAUCUCAGAACAGAUUAACUCAGUGACAAUACGGAUCAUUUGGAUCCUGCUGGUAACUGGAUUAUAUUUCAAGUAAGAGUCACACAUCAUGACAAUACCAGUGUCUGAAUUAUACCUUAACAUGGGUUUCCAAUGCUCUGCACUUGAUAGAGCACUGCGAAAUUAAUGACUGUAACUACCCAAAGUUCACUAAGGCAGACAGUGCAGAAGUGAUUGCUGAUAAUCUUAUUAGGGCACCAGGGCUAUCAGAGCACAGUACAGUAAACAGAUUGCAUCAUAAUGCAAUGUAGGUUCAUCACUUCUUUACACCAUAUCACAACAAAUGUCUUUAUAUUGUCAGAUAAACACGAACCGUGAUGGUUAGCUGUCAGGUCAAGCUCACUGUUCCAGCAUGCUGGAAGACCGUGUUUGUGGCGUGAAGAUUGCUGGUGUAUGGGGGGCCUUACUCUACAAUCUAUCACCUCUUCUGGAGACACAGCAUUUAUUCUGCACAUUAUGAAUGCAACAGUUUGAAACAUUCUGUGAGAUUUUCAAGUCUGUCAGAAGCAGCACUGCCAUUUAGCACCACCUACAUCACUAACAAGAGACUGUAACCUACAGUGUUUGUACUCGUGGUGUUACAUCACUUGGAAACACAGCAAAGUCCUGCAAAGGAAAUUCUAGAAGUUCAAAAAAUACCUUUCCAGAGCCUUCUUGAAAUUCCUUCCAGAUUCCUAUCCAGUGGUGGGCAGUAAUUUUGGUAUUACAUGAUUCACUUUUACAUACAUUGUAUCAUAUUCCAUUUUUACAAUGAUUAAAUGACUAAAUAUAUAUAUAUUUUUUAAUUUAAAAAUGUAUUAUUGAAAAUGCAUGCCUGUUUGAAAAUUCAAGGGCAGUACAAACUGUCCCGCAUGAAAACAUACAAACUGGAUGAAGAGAUAAGAAAGAUUCGUUGUGUUGACCUGCCAUAAGGGUUUGGAAACUGGCUAUUUUCAUCCUAUAUGAAGGAUACUUUUCACAUGAUUUUAAGAAGAUUAAAGCAUGAACAGUGUUAAUAUAGGUGGCAGCAGCAACAGUGGAUGAGUUUAAGAGAAGUCGUUACAGCACUGUUUUGAAUUUUUCCAUUCGAGAAAAGAAUUUGGUGGGGCGGCAGAAUGUAGUUUCUGAAUACUGCAUUUGGAAAUUUUGUACAUUACAAAUUUUUGCUAAGCACUGAACUGCAGGUAGUCAUGUUCAAA